rnacentral:rRNA from 1 species
UACGUAGGGUGCGAGCGUUGUCCGGAAUUAUUGGGCGUAAAGAGCUCGUAGGCGGUCUGUCGCGUCGGUCGUGAAAACUUGGGGCUUAACCCUGAGCUUGCGGUCGAUACGGGCAUGACUGGAGUUCGGCAGGGGAGACUGGAAUUCCUGGUGUAGCGGUGAAAUGCGCAGAUAUCAGGAGGAACACCGGUGGCGAAGGCGGUUCUCUGGGCAUGACCUGACGCUGAGGAGCGAAAGUGUGGGGAGCGAACAGG